GGUUAAGUGACUAAGCGUACACGGUGGAUGCCUAGGCAGUUGGAGGCGAUGAAGGACGUACUAACUUGCGAUAAGCCAUGACGAGACAGUAAGAGUCGUUAUCAGUCAUGGAUUUCCGAAUGGGGCAACCCACUCUGUUUACAGAGUAUCCGGCACUGAAUAUAUAGGUGCUUGGAGGCAAACCCGGAGAACUGAAACAUCUAAGUACCCGGAGGAAAAGAAAUCAACCGAGAUUUCCCUAGUAGCGGCGAGCGAACGGGAAGCAGCCCUUAAGCUGACAAUGCGUUAACAGAAUCUGUUGGGAAGCAGAGCCAUAGACGGUGAUAGCCCGGUAUGUGACGGCGCAUAGUGAGUGAAAACGAGUAGGUCGGGACACGUGUUAUCUUGACUGAAUAUGGGGGGACCAUCCUCCAAGGCUAAAUACUCCCAACUGACCGAUAGUGAACCAGUACCGUGAGGGAAAGGCGAAAAGAACCCCGGCGAGGGGAGUGAAAUAGAACCUGAAACCGUGUACGUACAAGCAGUAUGAGCCUCCUUGUGGGGUGACUGCGUACCUUUUGUAUAAUGGGUCAGCGACUUAUAUUUUG
rnacentral:ncRNA from 1 species